UUCUAAGGGAGAGCGGCUUCCUAGCCAUGGAAGAGCAUUUUCUUAUUGACUGGCAAAGCUGUCACCAUUUUAACUGAUACUGGAUUGGGACCCAUACAAGGAACAUUC
rnacentral:snoRNA from 1 species